GAUGAACGCUGGCGGCGUGCUUAACACAUGCAAGUCGAACGGAAAGGCUCCUGCUUGCAGGGGUACUCGAGUGGCGAACGGGUGAGUAACACGUGGGUGAUCUGCCCUGCACUUCGGGAUAAGCCUGGGAAACUGGGUCUAAUACCGGAUAGGACGAUGGUUUGGAUGCCAUUGUGGAAAGUUUUUCGGUGUGGGAUGAGCUCGCGGCCUAUCAGCUUGUUGGUGGGGGAAUGGCCUACCAAGGCGUCGACGGGUCGCCGGCCUGGGAGGGUGUACGGCCCCAUUGGGACUGAGAUACGGCCCAGACUCCUACGGGAGGCAGCAGGGGGGAAUAUUGCACAAUGGGCGCAAGCCUGAUGCAGCGACGCCGCGUGGGGGAUGACGGCCUUCGGGUUGGAAACUCCUUUCGCUAGGGACGAAGCGUUUUGUGACGGUACCUGGAGAAGAAGCACCGGCUAACUACGUG
rnacentral:rRNA from 1 species